AACACAUUUAACCCUCCGAUGUUCGGUGCCUUAUGAUGCGUAUUAAUUAUGAAGAGCAAUUGGGUUUACAACUAUAUAGUUGCAUGGAAUGUUCAUUAAGACAUAUGGGACGAUUACAUUUGCUGCAGUUAUAACGAGUUUUACGUCGCUUUUUCGAAGAAGAAGCAGCACAAUGGUAGCACGAUGACCGUUUUGAAGCAACUUGAGCAUAUGAUUGUUGCUGUGUUGCAUCUGAUGUCGAUGGACAAGAUUCCG